ncrna:unclassified sequences Streptococcus sRNA SpF59 (ldcC RNA)
UGACCGCUCCCGCUGGGGGCUGAGGCUACACGGGCGGCCGGGUCAGAUGCCGA